rnacentral:lncRNA from 1 species
GCUGCUCCACUGGGGUCCAGACAAACGUAAAUUUGUAACUAAGCCUGCAAAAUGGGAGAAAAUCCGAGCACACCAAUGGUAAUUACAUAUAUUUUCUAUGAACACCAAUUUCACGGAACUAUAAAUUGCAAAUUAUGCAUCAAUAUGAGCACACGGCGGUAAGUUACAUAUAUUUUCAUAUGAGUUCAAUUUUCACACAACGAUAAAUUGCAAAUUAUAGUAUCAAUAUGAGCUAAAUUUCAACAGUUAGGUCCCGAAUUACAGACACUAGUUCAGUUGUCUAUCAAUUUAUUUUCAUACAUCCCUCUAUUGUAUUCGUAAUCCCUCCGUGUGUUCAGGAACCUUACCUACAAAUAUCAAAGAUACAUAUAUAUUAUAUGUAUAUCUGUAUAUAUAGAUAUAUACGUGUGCGCCGCGUGUGUUGGCGUCGCGUAUGUUAUAUAUAUAUAUAUAUAUAUAUAUAUAAUAUAUAUAUUAUAUAUAUAUAUAUAAUAGAUAGAGAGAGAGAGAGAGGAGAGAGAGAGAGAGAGAGAGGACCUGAACAGGAGGAGAGAGGGGGGGAGGCCGAGUUGGAUCUGUGAGACGAUUGAAGAGUGCGGUCGGCGCAAACCCUAACUCUCUCUCUCUCUUGUGUUGUGGCUCUGUCUCUUUGUUGCCGCCAGACCGAUGAAACAAGAACGACGCAAGGCUUUUCAAACUUCCAACACAAACCCUAACCCC